GGAAGCCUGAUGCAGCGACGCCGCGUGGGGGAUGACGGCCUUCGGGUUGUAAACCCCUUUCAGUAGGGAAGAAGCGCAAGUGACGGUACCUGCAGAAGAAGCGCCGGCUAACUACGUGCCAGCAGCCGCGGUAAUACGUAGGGCGCGAGCGUUAUCCGGAAUUAUUGCGCGUAAAGAGCUCGUAGGCGGCUUGUCGCGUCUGCUGUGAAAGCCCGGGGCUCAACCCCGGGUCUGCAGUGGGUACGGGCAGGCUGGAGUGCAGUAGGGGAGACUGGAAUUCCUGGUGUAGCGGUGAAAUGCGCAGAUAUCAGGAGGAACACCGAUGGCGAAGGCAGGUCUCUGAGCUGUAACUGACGCUGAGGAGCGAAAGCAUGGGGAGCGAACAGGAUUAGAUACCCUGGUAGUCCAUGCCGUAAACGUUGGGCACUAGGUGUGGGGGCCAUUCCACGGUUUCUGCGCCGCAGCUAACGCAUUAAGUGCCCCGCCUGGGGAGUACGGCCGCAAGGCUAAAACUCAAAGGAAUUGACGGGGG
rnacentral:rRNA from 1 species